CCAGCUGCCAAAUGCUGUUCAAGUUUGAUGUGUUCACAUCAUUUGAGCAGAUGAAGUUAGCUAGCCCAGCGUUAUCCCAACAAGAAUUUCUCAAAAUGCUUAAACAUCGAUCUCUUUGCACUGGUCGGAGGAGUAGUAUUUGUGGUGAUACCUUCCACAGAGUCUUUCGGGAGUUUUCCUUCUGCAAUUAUUAGAAAGAAGAUUUGUGCUUGAUGGAGCCCUUUAAAUGCCCUGCAUGCACACCAGACAUGCUGGCUAUUAUCUGCAGAUGGUAAUAGAAAACAUUACUGGUUCAAGAAUUCCAAAGGGACAGACGAACCAUCUCUUUUUGAUGGGCUAUUUAUCGCACAAGAUGCCAAAGUAUCUGCCUUUGUUGACCAAAUAAGAAGCCAGAUGUGUAGUAGGACAGGUCAUGAUGUCUGUGGGCCGGCAACAUUUACAGCAGGCAGAGAAACAUCUCAGAAGUCCAGGGCCAAGGUGGAUGAAGAGGGCCUUGAA